rnacentral:tmRNA from 1 species
GGGGUUGUAUGGAAUCGACAGGAAAUGUAAGGAGCCGGCAAGCAUGCCGUAGCAUGAUGAUUCACUACGUUAAAAAUGGUUAUCGGUUUUUAAAUGGCAAUACUUCUUUUGCUGUUGCAGCUUAAUUCAGAGAAUUAAUUUGCAUCUGUGCCCGUAAUUUUUAGCCUGACAGAAUUACAAUGGCGCAUCAAACUUUCAGGCUGGUUAUUUUGGAGGUCCCGGCCAAAAGACGAGAAGUUGGGAAUAAGGUUUGAUUAGCUCGUUUCUUAAGCUCACUCAAACCUGACAAAUAAAUAAGAAACUAAGCAUGUAGAAAACUUGUUUUUUCUUUCUCUGGACGCGGGUUCGACUCCCGCCAGCUCCACAA